rnacentral:rRNA from 1 species
AGCGGAGGAAAAGAAACCCACAGGGAUUGCCUCAGUAACGGCGAUUGAAGCGGCAGCAGCUCAAAUUUGAAAUCUGGCCUCCUUCGGGGUCCGAGUUGUAAUUUGUAGAGGGUGUUUCGGGAGCGGCGCCGGUCUAAGUCCCUUGGAACAGGGCGUCGCAGAGGGUGAGAAUCCCGUACGCGACUGGCGACCAACCCCAUGUGAAACCCCUUCGACGAGUCGAGUUGUUUGGGAAUGCAGCUCAAAAUGGGUGGUAAAUUUCAUCUAAAGCUAAAUACCGGCCAGAGACCGAUAGCGCACAAGUAGAGUGAUCGAAAGAUGAAAAGCACUUUGGAAAGAGAGUCAAACAGUACGUGAAAUUGUUGAAAGGGAAGCGCUUGCAACCAGACCUGUCCGUAGGCGAUCAACCUCUGUUCUCAGGGGUGCACUCGCCCGCGAUCAGGCCAGCAUCGGUUCGGACGGCGGGAUAAAGGCCCUGGGAACGUGGCUCCCUUCGGGGAGUGUUAUAGCCCUCGGUGCAAUGCCGCCAGCCCGGACCGAGGACCGCGCUUCGGCUAGGAUGCUGGCGUAAUGGUUGUAAGCGACCCGUCUUGAAACACGGACCAAGGAGUCUAACAUCUAUGCGAGUGUUUGGGUGUCAAACCCAUGCGCGCAAUGAAAGUGAACGGAGGUGAGAACCCUGAAGGGCGCAUCAUCGACCGAUCCAGAUGUCUUCGGAUGGAUUUGAGUACGAGCAUAGCUGUUGGGACCCGAAAGAUGGUGAACUAUGCCUGAAUAGGGUGAAGCCAGAGGAAACUCUGGUGGAGGCUCGCAGCGGUUCUGACGUGCAAAUCGAUCGUCAAAUUUGGGUAUAGGGGCGAAAGACUAAUCGAACCAUCUAAACCGACCACUACUGGAUGGUCCGACCGGGCGCGCAAGCCGCCCGGGCAGUUCUCUCCGGAGAGCCACAUCGUCAGUCUUCGGGCAUGCCACUGGCUACCUGCAGCGAGCCCCUGCCGGGGGCCCGUCCACAGACUAAACGGCGACGGCCGCGCCCGAGGGCCCGGUUCUGAGAUAGCCGAUUCCGUCCUGUUCGGGCGG